GGGCGUGGCAGACUUCUCUGUGGUCUCCGAUGUUACGAAUGUGAAGAGAAAUCUGCUGGACAGGGCCAGGAGCUGUUUGGGUAUACGUGGUUUUAAUAUGAGUCGAGAGGAUGUGGAGAUAGUGGGCAACAUGGUCUGCACUCUGGACAGCUCAUACAUCGAGAACUCUGAUUCAAGCAUCCUGGAAAAACUGACAACCUGCCCAUCCCUCUCUGACAGCCAGGUGGCUGCUGUGGAAACACAGCUGCUCUCUGGGAAAACAAAAUACGGCAAUGUCAACAGUUGGAACACACAGACUUUAGAAGAACUUGGGAAUCUACCUCUGUUCUUCACAGGACAAAUUUGGGCGCACAUCGAAAAACGGAGUACAAAAAGAAUUUUAAA